CGGGGCGUAGCGCAGCCUGGUAGCGCACCUGCUUUGGGAGCAGGGGGUCGCUGGUUCGAAUCCAGCCGCCCCGACCA
rnacentral:tRNA from 1 species